rnacentral:rRNA from 1 species
CCCUUAGAUGUUCUGGGCCGCACGCGCGCUACACUGACGAAUGCAACGAGCUUAUAACCUUGGCCGAAAGGUCUGGGUAAUCUCCAAAUUUCGUCGUGAUGGGGAUAGAUUAUUGCAAUUAUUAAUCUUCAACGAGGAAUGCCUAGUAAGCGCAAGUCAUCAGCUUGCGUUGAUUACGUCCCUGCCCUUUGUACACACCGCCCGUCGCUUGUACCGAUUGGAUGGUCCGGUGAAAUCUUCGGAUAGCUGGUAGUUGGCUUGCCAUCUACUGCUAAAAGUUGCUUAAACCUUAUCAUCUAGAGGAACAAGAAGUCGUAACA